GGAGAAGGUAGAUUAUUCAGGUAUCUGAUGAUUCGGAGAAGGUAGAUUACACGGCUCCUGCUUUUCAUCCCGAUGGUCUCAUUCUUGGAACCGGUACUUCUCAGUCUGUUGUCAAGAUUUGGGAUGUUAAAAGUCAGGCAAAUGUGGCGAAGUUUGAUGGCCACACCGGUGAAGCUACCUCUAUAUCAUUCUCCGAGAAUGGUUAUUUCCUCGCGACUGCUGCCGAGGAUGGUGUUAAGUUGAGGGACCUGCGCAAGUUAAGGAACUUCCAAGUCAUUCUUAUCCGCAGAUGCAAAUUCUGAUAUGCAACUACUGUAUCCCGUUCCUGGCCGUAGCGUUCUAGUCGUUUUGUUGAUAGAGAAAUCUCCAUGUAUAAGACAUCAGGUGGGUGCGCAUGCGCAUUUGGAAUUAAAUGGGCCAAAGAGACCAAGCUCAGCUAAAAGAGAAUAUGCAAUCCAGUAACCUUCACUUAUGUUCAUGUACUACUUAACUAAAAUGUUUUGUUACGGCUGUAGACUAUACCAGACGGCGAGUGUGGAAGCUGAAUGGAACGUUAUCAAGACACUCCCAGAUCUCUCCGGCACUGGUAAAGCUACAUGUGUGAAGUUUGGUUCAGAUGCACGAUACAUUGCAGUUGGUUCAAUGGACAGUAACCUACGGAUAUUUGGUAUUCCUAAUGACGAAAAAGCCAACGACGAUGAUAACUCUGGUCAAGGCUCGUGAAGAAUCGGUUAGAGAACUCAAGUCAGCAAAAUUGCAAAUGGGUCAUCUCCGGUUAUACCUCCCUCUUGAGGCUCAAAUUUUGUUGUAUCUCGACAUAACUUUCGCAGCGAUAGGGAGAAUUUGUUAGGUGGUGCUCCCUGGAACAGAAGCGUUCACACUCGCACACACUUUCUUACUCUAUUUCCUCAAUCUAAUAAGUUCUGAUUCCUCUAUUUGUACCUUCAAAAUAUGUUCGUUCUGUUGGUAACGUUAGCUCUGAUGUUAAAAAAAAAAAAAAGAAA